rnacentral:rRNA from 1 species
UACGUAGGGUGCAAGCGUUAAUCGGAAUUACUGGGCGUAAAGCGUGCGCAGGCGGUUGUGCAAGUCGCGUGUGAAAGCCCCCGGCUCAACUGGGGAGGGUCACGCGAUACUGCUCGACUUGAAGGCAGGAGAGGGAAGUGGAAUUCCCGGUGUAGAGGUGAAAUUCGUAGAUAUUGGGAAGAACACCGAUGGCGAAGGCAGCCAUCUGGACCGACACUGACGCUGAGGCGCGAAAGCGUGGGGAGCAAACAGG